GACGAACGCUGGCGGCGUGCCUAAUACAUGCAAGUCGAGCGCAGGAAGCUGACGGAACUCUUCGGAGGGAAGGCAGUGGAAUGAGCGGCGGACGGGUGAGUAACACGUAAGGAACCUGCCUCAAGGAUUGGGAUAACUCCGAGAAAUCGGAGCUAAUACCGGAUAGUUCAUCGGACCGCAUGGUCCGGUGAUGAAAGGCGCUUCGGCGUCACCUUGAGAUGGCCUUGCGGUGCAUUAGCUAGUUGGUGGGGUAACGGCCCACCAAGGCGACGAUGCAUAGCCGACCUGAGAGGGUGAUCGGCCACACUGGGACUGAGACACGGCCCAGACUCCUACGGGAGGCAGCAGUAGGGAAUCUUCCACAAUGGACGAAAGUCUGAUGGAGCAACGCCGCGUGAGUGAUGAAGGUUUUCGGAUCGUAAAACUCUGUUGUAAGGGAAGAACACGUACGAGAGGGAAUGCUCGUACCUUGACGGUACCUUACGAGAAAGCCACGGCUAACUACGUGCCAGCAGCCGCCGUAA
rnacentral:rRNA from 1 species